rnacentral:rRNA from 1 species
AUGGGUGCUAGGGAGAACGGGGAAGAGAGGAAUGACCAUUCAACUGAUGUGGAAGUGGAACGAGAUGCUAAACUAGGGAAGGAAGCUGAAUCAGAGUAUGAAGCAGCUAGAGACUCCUUUUCAUCUCAAGGUGAGUCUAACAGCAAUGAAGAUACUAAAGCGAAAAGAGUCUCAAGGGUUCCGAAGAAGCUAGCAAAAAAGGAGACCAAGCCAAACAGCCCACGUCUGGCCAGAACUAAUUCCACUCGUCUAGUCAACAAGAAGCUGCAAUAUAUUUCACCAAACAAUAGUCCGAACAAAGCACCGAAGCCAAGCAAAGCGGCUAAUGGUGUUAAAACUGUUGAAGUUCAAAAGCCAGAAACUGUGGAAGUUACUUCUUGUCCUUCAUCUGAUGUGUCUGAGGAAACAAAUGAUAAAGCUAUUGAGGGCAGAGCCACCGAUGAUAAGUCCACCGAGGGCAGGGCCAAUGAUAAUAAGACCACCGAGGGCAGGGCCGAUGAUAAUAAGGCCACCGAGGACACAGCUGCUGAUGAUAAGGCCAUUGAGGGUGUAGCGACUGAUGAUAAGGCCAUUGAGGGCGUAGCGACUGAUGAUAAGGCCAUUGAGGUUAUAGCGACUGAUGAUAAGGGCAUUGAGGGUGUAGAGACCAGUGAUACAGCCAUUGAAGAAGCAAAGGAAAUUGAUGUCUUAGACGAAGCUCCGAAAUGUGAUCAGAGUACUGGCACUGAUGAUGAAAUUGCUGAUACUGAACAGAACAUACUUGAUGAUGACAACUCAGUAGCAUAUGAAAAGAAUGAUGAGAAGAUUGAGGAAUUAGAAUCAAAAAUUGAAAAGCUGGAGCAAGAGCUUCGUGAAGUUGCUGCCCUUGAGGUUUCUCUCUACUCUAUUAUGCCAGAGCACGGAUGUUCAUCACAUAAGCUGCAUACGCCAGCUCGGCGUCUGUCUAGGUUAUAUAUCCAUGCAUCAAAGUUUUGGUCCCCAGAUAAGAAAGCUUCUGUUGCAAAAAACUCUGUUUCUGGGCUUGUGCUUGUAGCAAAGUCUUGUGGCAAUGAUGUUUCAAGGUUGACAUUCUGGUUAUCGAACACAAUUGUCCUACGAGAGAUCAUUGCACAAACCUUUGGCAUUUCAAGCCAAUCACCUGCAGUUAUGAAUGCUUUCACUAGAAACAGAAACAGUAAUGCAAAAAAGCUUUACAAGAAUUCCCCGCCAAUGCGAUGGAAAAUGAAUUCCGGUGGCAAGCAUGCUAGACCUACUAUCAUGCAGUUUCCGGAUGAUUGGCAGGAAACUGGCACUGUCUUGGCUGCAUUAGAGAAGAUUGAAUCUUGGAUCUUUUCUCGGAUUGUUGAGUCUGUGUGGUGGCAGGCACUGACACCCCGUAUGCAAACUCCUGUUGAGGAUUCAUCAACUCCAAGCAUUGGGAAACCGUUAGGACAUUCUUCAGCUGAUCAGCAUCAAAGCACUUUUUCGAUUGAUCUUUGGAAGACUGCAUCUUGUGAUGCGUUCAGCAGAAUAUGCCCUCUUCGUGCUGGUGGACAUGAGUGUGGCUGCUUACCAGUAUUGGCCAAACUGGUGAUGGAGCAAUGUGUAGCCCGUUUAGACGUGGCUUUAUUUAACGCCAUCCUCCGUGAAUCAGAGAAUGAGAUACCAUCUGAUCCAAUAUCCGAUCCGAUUCUUGACUCCAGGGUUCUGCCAAUUCUAGCUGGCAACUUAAGCUUUGGAUCAGGCGCACAGCUGAAGAAUGCGGUUGGAAGCUGGUCCAGAUUGUUGACGGAUAUGUUUGGCAUGGACGGUGAUGACUCUCACAAGGAUGGCCAAGGUGCAGGGGGAGAUGGCAAUAGCAGAAGAGAUGGAGCUGAAUCCAAUUCUUUUAAGCUGCUCAAUGAGUUGAGUGAUCUUCUGAUGCUUCCGAAGGACAUGCUUCUUGAGAAGUCCAUCAGGAAAGAGGUCUGCCCGUCGAUUGGCCUUCCACUAGUAACAAGGAUACUCUGCAACUUCACUCCAGACGAGUUUUGCCCUGAUCCUGUUCCUGGCAUAGUUCUAGAGGAGCUGAACUCUGAGAGCUUGCUUGAGCGCUUCACGGAGAAAAAUCUGAUCAGUACAUUCCCAUGCACUGCUGCUCCUGUUGCGUACCGCGCCCCUUCAUUGGAGGAUGUAGCGGAGAAAGUGGCAGACACGAGUGGCAGCGCAGAGGUGGAGCAAAGGGCCUUGAUGGUCCAGAGGAGAGGGUACACCAGCGACGACGAUCUGGACGACCUAGGCUCCCCCUUGAUGUCCCUCUACGACCGGAGCUCUCCGCCGUCGCCUUGUGACGGGGUCGCACAUUUCAGUACUCGCCAAGAAGGCGCCGUGGCAAAUGUAAGAUACGAGCUCCUAAGAGAAGUAUGGUCGGAGCACCGUGAUUGA